GACGAACGCUGGCGGCGUGCUUAACACAUGCCAGUCGAACGGAAAGGCCUCUUUCGGGGGGUACUCGCGUGGCGAACGGGUGAGUAACACGUGAGUAACCUGCCCUUGACUUUGGGAUAACUUCAGGCAACUGGGGCUAAUACCGGAUAGGAGCUCCUGCUGCCUGGUGGGGGCUGUAGAGUUUCGGCGGUUGGGGAUGGACUUGCGGCUUAUCAGCUUGUUGGUGGGGUAGUGGCUUACCACGGCGUUGACGGGUAGCCGGCCUGAGAGGGUGACCGGCCACAGUGGGACUGAGAGAAGGCCCAGACACCUACGGGAGGGAGCAGGGGGGAAUAUUGCACAAUGGGUGGAAGCCGGAUGCAGCAACGCCGGGUGCGGGAUGACGGCCUUCGGGUUGUAAACCGCUUUCGCUCAUGACGAAGCUUUGUGUGACGGUAGUGGGUAAAGAAGCACCGGCUAACUACGUG
rnacentral:rRNA from 1 species